AGUGAACGCUGGCGGUAGGCCUAACACAUGCGAGUCGAACGGCAGCACAGUAAGAGCUUGCUCUUACGGGUGGCGAGUGGCGGACGGGUGAGGAAUACAUCGGAAUCUACUUUUUCGUGGGGGAUAACGUAGGGAAACUUACGCUAAUACCGCAUACGACCUACGGGUGAAAGCAGGGGAUCUUCGGACCUUGCGCGAUUGAAUGAGCCGAUGUCGGAUUAGCUAGUUGGCGGGGUAAAGGCCCACCAAGGCGACGACCCGUAGCUGGUCUGAGAGGAUGAUCAGCCACACUGGAACUGAGACACGGUCCAGACUCCUACGGGAGGCAGCAGUGGGGAAUAUUGGACAAUGGGCGCAAGCCUGAUCCAGCCAUACCGCGUGGGUGAAGAAGGCCUUCGGGUUGUAAAGCCCUUUUGUUGGGAAAGAAAAGCAGCAGGUUAAUACCCCGCUGUUCUGACGGUACCCAAAGAAUAAGCACCGGCUAACUUCGUG
rnacentral:rRNA from 1 species